UUAUGAAAUGCAGCUCACUAGAAAUGCACGGAGAUCGCUCAUAGAUGGAACCAUGCGGUCAUAGAGUGUUAAAAAUAGAGUGUUAAAUGGCAGUUUCAACGUAAAUUUAGGACAUUUAGUUGCUGUUUGUUGUUUUAUUUUUGUCUUUGGCUGUUUUAGUACCUGGUUGAAAAUUAGCACAAGGUCAGCUCUUACGGUGUUGUGGAGUCGAAUAAGGUGUAUUGUGGAGUUAAACAAGGUUAAUAAAUGGAAAAAGGGACAACAGCAUGCUUUUUGUUGUUUAAGUUCUGUGUAGCAUGUGGCUGGUGUUUUUCAUCGACUGCGUGUUUUUAUGUCAUGUGAUGUUUGGACAUGCAGUCAGUGGGAGUUCUCAUUGGCUGCGUGUUCUUAUGUCAUACUGUGUGAGCACCAGUCCUGCCACUGCUUGGACUGUUUUUCUUUGUAUGUAUUUUUGCAGUCUAAUAAAAAGCCCUUUAAUCUCUGGA